rnacentral:sRNA from 1 species
CGUCAACGCGAGGGAGGAUCGUUUAUGGGACUUACACACUCGUUGAAUGUCCUCAUGAUCAGUGCAGCGUUCGCAUUCGUGGCCGUAAUGCUUUUCGUAUGAUGCAGGGCCACUGAAAGUCCAAACCGAAACAGGGACUCUAAUUUCCGGAAAAUCCAUUUUGCAGCAAAGCAUGUCAGGUUGGCCGCUCU